rnacentral:snRNA from 1 species
UUUGGCUGGGGCGGCACAU